ACUAGGGGGGGGGGGAUGCGAAGGCGAGAGAAAGAGAGCGAGGAAAAAUGGGAGGGGCGAAAAAGAAAUAGCUAUUUCUUUCUCGCCCCUCCCAUUUUUCCUCGCUCUCUUUCUCUCGCCUUCGCAUCCCCUCCCUAGCUUCU
rnacentral:miRNA from 1 species